GCGGGAGUAGCUCAGCGGUAGAGCAUCACCUUGCCAAGGUGAGGGUCGCGGGUUCAAGCCCCGUCUCCCGCC
rnacentral:tRNA from 3 species